rnacentral:rRNA from 1 species
AUUGAACGCUGGCGGCAUGCUUUACACAUGCAAGUCGAACGGUAACAGGCCGCAAGGUGCUGACGAGUGGCGAACGGGUGAGUAAUGCAUCGGAACGUGCCCAGUCGUGGGGGAUAACGCAGCGAAAGCUGUGCUAAUACCGCAUACGAUCUAUGGAUGAAAGCGGGGGACCGUAAGGCCUCGCGCGAUUGGAGCGGCCGAUGUCAGAUUAGGUAGUUGGUGGGGUAAAGGCCUACCAAGCCGACGGUCUGUAGCUGGUCUGAGAGGACGACCAGCCACACUGGGACUGGGACCAGGCCCAGACUCCUACGGGAGGCAGCAGGGGGGAAUUUUGGACAGUGGGCGCAAGCCUGAUUCAGCAAUGCCGCGUGCAGGAAGAAGGCCUUCGGGUUGUAAACUGCUUUUGUACGGAACGAAACGGUCUGGGUUAAUACCCUGGGCUAAUGACGGUACCGUAAGAAUAAGCACCGGCUAACUACGUGCCAGCCGCCGCAGUAAUAC